rnacentral:rRNA from 1 species
GACGAACGCUGGCGGCGUGCUUAACACAUGCAAGUCGAACGGUAAGGCCCCUUCGGGGUUACACUAGUGGCGAACGGUUGCGUAACACUUAAGCAACCUGCCCUUUACUUUUUGAUACCAGCUGUAAACAGCUGCUAAUACCGGAUAUGACCUCUUCUCUCAUGGGUUGAGGUGGAAAGCUCCUGCGGUCAGGGAUGGGCUCGUGGCCUAUCAGCUUGUUGGUGAGGUAAUGGCGCACCAAGGCUUCGACGGGUAGCCGGCCUGAGAGGGCGACCGGCCACAAUGCGACUGAGAUACGGCCCAGACUCCUACGGGAGGCAGCAGUGGGGAAUAUUGCACAGUGGGCGCAAGCCUGAUGCAGCAGCGCCGCGUGCGGGAUGACGGCCUUCGGGUUGUAAACCGCUUUCAGUAGGGACGAAGCUAACGUGACGGUACCUACAGAAGAAGGACCGGCUAACUACGUG